AAAGAAACUAACAAGGAUUUUCUUAGUAGCGGCGAGCGAAAAGAAAUCAGUUCAGCACUAAGUCACUUUGUCUUUAUGGCAAAUGUGAGAUGCAGUGUAUGGAACGUCUUAAAUCUAGUAUGAGAAAUUAACGAUUUAAGUCCUUCUUAAAUGAGGCCACUUACCCAUAGAGGGUGCCAGGCCCGUAUAACGUUAAUGAUUACUAGAAGUCGUUUCCAAAGAGUCGUGUUGCUUGAUAGUGCAGCACUAAGUGGGUGGUAAACUCCAUCUAAAACUAAAUAUAACCAUGAGACCGAUAGUAAACAAGUACCGUGAGGGAAAGUUGAAAAGAACUCUGAAUAGAGAGUUAAAUAGUACGUGAAACUGCUUAGAGGUUAAGCCCGAUGAACCUGAAUAUCCGUUAUGGAAAAUUCAUCAUUAUAAUUGUAAUAUUUAGAAAAAUAUUAUUAAUGAUAGUGUGCAUUUUUUCCAUAUAAGGACAUUGUAAUCUAUUAACAUAAAUAAAUAUUUAUCAAAAGAUCAUGAGCUUUAAGUUUAUUCAAAUUAUUAUGCUUGCAUUUUAACAUAGAAUAAAUGCUUAUCGAUUCGAUAAAGUGUUGAUAGAUUUAUCAUAUAUACAGUGCGUUAAUUCUAUUGAAUUAUAUAAUGGCAUAUUAAUCUAUGAUUUUUGUGUUUAUUAUAUGCAUUUGUAUGAUUAACAAUGCGAAAGAUUCAGGAUACCUUCGGGACCCGUCUUGAAACACGGACCAAGGAGUCUAACAUAUUUGCAAGUCAUUGGGACUUUAUAGACCUAAUGGCAUAAUUAACUUGACUGAGUUAUAAAUGGGAUUAGUUUUUAAAUUUUUUUAAAAUUUAUUAACACAAUCCCGGGGCGUUCUAUAUAGUUAUGUAUAAUAGUAUUUAUAUUAUUUAUACCUCUAACUGGAACG
rnacentral:rRNA from 1 species